AUGGAAAGCUUUACCUUCAGUAAAAUGCUGACAGUAGAAACGUGUUUGCCCCAAAUCAAGUAUGCAAGCGGAGAAAAGAACAUGCAGCACCAUUUCACCAAGUGGAAGAGUGGAGAGGUCUUCAGGGAGGAUUUUAAGAGGAGAAAAGCGCUAAGUCGAGAAUGGGGUCAAGGAGAAGUAUACAUCUGAUUGUCCAUCACAGACACCACAGCAAAGAGAAAAAGACCCAGUGACAGACGGAGAGGGAGGGUUAGAGGAAGUGUAGGUCUGAUCACAACCCCUACAGUGGUGAGUAAAUACAGUCUAAUGGCCACUGAUUAAUUCUUCAUUGCUCUCAUCGGCCCAGUAAAGAGAGAUGUAAUGACCUGCCUGUGUCUGUCAUUCUCUUCUUCUCCCUCUCCCGCUCAAUUUUUGAUUAUAAAUUAAAAGGGAUUGUAAAUGGUGUAAUGCUGGUUUGAGGUUCCUGAUUGCUGUAUUUGAUUAGAGAAUGUCAGUGCACGCAUUUUCCCCUCUCUCUUGCACUUCAAUAGCUGCAACACUCAGCAAUGCACAAAGAACACAAUGGACCAACUGCUUAACAGUACCAACUAAACCAUAACUAGCACUAGCUGCAAUCAAACUCAUUCUUUU
rnacentral:lncRNA from 1 species